rnacentral:rRNA from 1 species
CACGUAAAGAACCUGCCUCAUAGACGGGGACAACUAUUGGAAACGAUAGCUAAUACCGGAUAACAGCAUAAAUCGCAUGAUAUAUGUUUAAAAGUUGGUUUCGGCUAACACUAUGAGAUGGCUUUGCGGUGCAUUAGCUAGUUGGUGGGGUAAAGGCCUACCAAGGCGACGAUGCAUAGCCGACCUGAGAGGGUGAUCGGCCACACUGGGACUGAGACACGGCCCAG